GGUAGGAGAAUGUUGGACAUGGAGCUGCCAGGCAGGAGGCAAAGAGGAAGGCCAAAGAAGAGCGCCUGCCCCGCCUCCCGAGCACCAACGGAGAGAACCGUCUCCUGAGUAUUAGUCGUUUCCGGACUGCAUUUCCCAUAAUCCUCUCGCCGGGACUGAUUACAUCACCACCUAUUACCCACGCCUAUAACACCUGAACGUGAACUUGACCCCAGUGCGAAGUCUCGAGCGGCUGCUGUGAUUAUUCUGAGCGUUUUCUGUGUUGUCUCUACUUCCGGUUUUGUGAUUCUCUUCCUGUCUGUCUGCCCUGACCCUUUGCCUGUUUUAUCCACCACGUACUUUGCCCUGUUGUGCUUCCACAACCAAGCAACGUAUUAAUUUUAGAAGCAAAAAAUAAUGGAUUGACAAAUUAAGGAUAGAUUAAUAAAUAAAUGAAUCAAUAUUAAAUACAAUAAUGUCCUUAUUGUAUUUCUAUAAUUUACUAUUUUACUUUUAAUUAUGCACAAUGUACUUUUUUUUAAAUUUAACUUUUUGUACUAUUUGCAUGCAGCACAGCUGCAAAUGCUUUGGUAAUACAAAUGUACAGUUUUUGUCAUGCCGAUAAAGCACACUUAAAUUGAACUUGAGAGAGAGACUAUGUUCCUAUUUUGAUAAUAAAAUAACAGCACUUGACUUGACUUGAA